rnacentral:lncRNA from 1 species
UUAAAGAAUUAUAGAUUUACAUCUUUUGAACGCAAUCAACUUGCCAGAUUUAAAAAUAACCUUACUGGGAAAUCACACUUUGCAAUAAUCUGAGCACUGUGCCCAGAAAAAUACGCGUUGCGAUACAGACUAGACGUCAUGUUGGGGAGAUCUAAAAUCGAAAAUACUAUGUAAAUAAUCCAUUACCUUUGAUUCUCUUCAUCAGAUGUCACUUCCAGGUAUCACAGGUCCAUAACGAAUGUAGUUUUGUUCAAAAAAGCUCAUCAUUUAUGUCCAAAAAUCUCCGUCUCGUUAGCACAUGAUGUAAGCCAGCCGGACUUCUCGUCAUGAACGAGGGGAAAAAAUAUAUUUCCGUUCGUUCAAACAUAGCGUCGUGUAG